rnacentral:sRNA from 1 species
GUACUGUCAGACAUAGAGGACUGGAUAAUACAUUUGUGUCUUUCUACAUAGUGGUAUAGAAAUAUCAGGUCCCCAAAUUCCCAUUUUUCUUUCAAUCACAUUUAAAAUUUCAAUAUGUUGCAGGCAGUAUGUGUAAGAUUGCAUCCAAAUAUUUACUCCUGGUUACUCCUCUUGGGCAAGCUUGUGAAUAUGAUCAAAAUAUCUAAAGAAGGAAGAAGGUAAAGAUCUAAAAUAUGACAUGAAAAUACCCAGAGCAGUGUGCCUAAAUUAGCAUUAGGGUUUGAGGGAUCCUAAGGAUGACAAAAAGGGACUCUUCUAUGUUGAAUUCGUGGUUGAUGCUCAGCGGUAGUAACAAUCCUGCCUCCCCUAACAUCUUCCUCCCCUUCCAGCAGCUUCACAGAAGAUGGUUGAUGAGGUAACUUAGGGGAUGCACAGGGUGUGGCCAGAAGACCCCUUUCCCUAUAGACCACUGUGAGCCCUGAAAGAUUUAUGAGGUAAUGUUCACUUCAUCCUGUGCUUCUUUUCCUAGAUGUGAUCUAUGAAGACUUUACUUCCACCACACCAGCGUGGAGGAAGUAUCAUCAUUCUUCCAGAGGGACAGACCACAAAGACAUCCCCAGGACCAGCCACUCUGGUAAUCUAGAAUUCAGUGACAGAAAAUAAAUAAGAAGAUAACUUCCUUCAGAAAGCCAUGACAUUGAAAUAAUAUGGUCAUAACUCUUUCUUCAGUACACCAAUAAAAUAUUAAUAGCAUGCAA